AUAACGGUCCUAAGGUAGCGAAAUUCCUUGUCAGGUAAGUUCUGACCCGCACGAAUGGUGUAAUGAUUUGGGCACUGUCUCAACAGCCCGCCCGGCGAAAUUGUAGUACCGGUGAAGAUGCCGGUUUCCCGCGACAAGACGGAAAGACCCCAUGGAGCUUUACUGCAGCCUAAUAUUGGGUUUCGAUAUUACAUGUACAGGAUAUGUGGGAGACAUGGAAGCACGGGCGUCAGCCUGUGUGGAGUCAGCCUUGGGAUACCACACUUGUGAUAUUGGAAUUCUAACCUGCGGCCCUGAAUCGGGUCGGGGGACAUUGUUAGGCGGGCAGUUUGACUGGGGCGGUCGCCUCCGAAAAAGUAACGGAGGCGUUCAAAGGUUGGCUCAGCUUGGACGGAAACCAAGCCAAAGAGUGCAAACGCAUAAGCCAGCCUAACUGCGAGACUGACGGGUCGAGCAGUAACGAAAGUUGGAGUUAGUGAUCCGGCGGUAUGUGAGUGGAAAUGCCGUCGCUCAACGGAUAAAAGUUACCCUGGGGAUAACAGGCUGAUCUCCCCCAAGAGUCCACAUCGACGGGGAGGUUUGGCACCUCGAUGUCGGCUCAUCGCAUCCUGGGGCUGAAGUAGGUCCCAAGGGUUUGGCUGUUCGCCCAUUAAAGUGGUACGCGAGCUGGGUUCAGAACGUCGUGAGACAGUUCGGUCCCUAUCCGUCGCAGGCGUAGGAAAUUUGAGGAGACCUGUCCUUAGUACGAGAGGACCGGGAUGGACGUACCUCUGGUGUACCAGUUGUCCUGCCAAGGGCAUGGCUGGGUAGCUAUGUACGGAAUGGAUAAGCGCUGAAAGCAUCUAAGCGCGAAGCCAACUUCAAGAUAAGAUUUCCCACCGCAAGGGUAAGACCCCAGAAAGACUAUCUGGUUGAUAGGUCGAAGGUGUAAGUGCAGCAAUGUAUUUAGCUUAUCGAUACUAAUAGGUCGAGGACUUGACCAA
rnacentral:rRNA from 1 species